rnacentral:tRNA from 2 species
GCGAGCGUAGCUCAGGGGUAGAGCACGACCUUGCCAAGGUCGGGGUCGAGGGUUCGAAUCCCUUCGCUCGCUCCA